rnacentral:misc_RNA from 1 species
UUUUUUUUUUUUAGCGAAAUGGGAGUGUGCAUUAAAGGGUUUUAAUUGAAUUUUGAACUGAAUUAAUUUCAUUUAUUUUUUCGACUCGGUUUUACAACCUGUGUUAGUGGGAGCUCUGACUAGUUAGUGGUGGUGCUGUCGUGGGGGAGGGUGAUCGCAAAGGAGUCCACUAACGAGACAUGCAAAUGGUCGAUCCAAGGCUAUAACAGAAUGAAACAAAUUGGACCUCUACAUUUUCAACCUACCGUCUCCUUUGGUGACUACUGCGGUUGGCUAGCUCUAGUGGCUUGGUGCAGCGGUGACUGGGCUCUUCGGCCUGGUGCUUUUAAAGGUUUCAGAUGGUCU